GACGAACGCUGGCGGCGUGCUUAACACAUGCAAGUCGAACGGAAAGGCCCUGCUUUUGUGGGGUGCUCGAUUGGCGAACGGGUGAGUAACACGUGAGUAACCUGCCCUUGACUUUGGGGUAACUUCAGGAAGCUGGGGCUAAUACCGGAUAGGAGCUCCUGCUGCAUGGUGGGGGGUGGAACGUUUCGGCGGUUGGGGAUGGACUCGCGGCUUAUGAGCUUGUUGGUGGGGUAGUGGCUGACCAAGGCUUUGACGGGUAGCCGGCCUGAGAGGGUGACCGGCCACAUUGGGCCUGCGAUAGGGAGCAGACUGCUACGGGAGGCAGUAGUGGGGAGUAUUGCACAAUGGGAGGGAGUCUGAUACAGCAGCGUCGGGGGUGUGAUGCCGGUCUGCGGGUUAUGAACCGCUUUCGCCUGUGACGACGCGUGAGUGACGGUAAUGGGUAAAGAAGCACCGGCUAACUACGUG
rnacentral:rRNA from 1 species